rnacentral:rRNA from 1 species
UCGGGAAUAUUGGGCAAUGGAGGGAACUUUGACCCAGCCAUGCCGCGUGCAGGAUGAAGGCGUUAUGCGUUGUAAACUGCUUUUUAUAUAGGAAGAAAUAGUCCUUGCGAGGAAAGUUGACGGUACUAUAUGAAUAAGCACCGGCUAACUCCGUGCCAGCAGCCGCGGUAAUACGGAGGGUGCAAGCGUUGUCCGGAUUUAUUGGGUUUAAAGGGUGCGUAGGCGGUUUAUUAAGUCAGUGGUGAAAGACGGUCGCUCAACGAUUGCAGUGCCAUUGAUACUGGUAGACUUGAGUAUGAUUGAGGUAGCUGGAAUGGAUAGUGUAGCGGUGAAAUGCAUAGAUAUUAUCCAGAACACCAAUUGCGUAGGCAAGUUACUAAGUCAUAACUGACGCUGAGGCACGAAAGUGUGGGUAUCAAACAGGAUUAGAUACCCCAGUAGUCCCUGAGCGGGCUGGCAAGGCGCAU